GGUUCCAUUACAGGAUUCGACUAAGAUGUAUAGCUUUAUAAUAGAGGUCAUCUAAAUGGCGUCUUAGAUCAUCUAUGUAUUUACUUUGAGCAUACAUUGUAUUCUGUCUUCUCUGAUGCUGGAGGUGACCACUUGCAGCAUGUCCUUGAUGUCUGUUUUAGAAGGCAGUUGUUUGAGCUGCCUGUUUGUCAUCAACCACAUGAGAAUUCCAGCUGAAAAAGUAUCAUAAUCAAAGGCAGCAUCUCCUGAAAUUCAAAACCUUAAAGAUUGAAAAGAAAAGCCAAGAAGAAAAUUCCAAGAAGGCAAGCACUAAAGAAGUGGACUUGAUAAUAAGCAGUAUUUAUACUAUAUUUAUGUUAUAUACAGUAAAUAUUGUAGAUAAACUCAGUUGUUUACAUACCACUGGCAGAAUUUGUAAGAUGAAAACAUGGGUUCCUGCACAGCACCAUUAUUAUGUGUUGGGUAUUGUUCAGGAGUAGUGAUGGGCAAAAUUGUCAUUUGAAACGCCUUAAAGUUAAUGGGCGUCAAAAUUAUUUUGACGCACUUCAAUUUAGGUGCCCACAACAAUUUUAAUACCUAUUUUGUCCAAAUGCAUUAAAGUCAAUGUGUGUCCGAAUAAGUUUGAAAUUUAUUCUCCGCGGCAAAAUUAAGAGAUUCACCAUGAAUUCAUGCCUGGCGAAUUUAUUCGCACAUCACUAUUCAGGAGAAGCAAAUUGCCAUCACAGAAUAGAUGCUAUAAUUACAGGUAUGGGAUAUGUUAUCCAAAAACCUCUUAUUCAGAAAGCUCCAAAUUACAGAAUGGCA